AUCAUGUGCAAUGGACCAGCGUAUCAAGAAGUAUUAUUUGUCUGAGAAGUUUGUAUAUCCUCCUCGUGAGAGUUUUGUGUUUGAUUAUCCAAUUUUUUGAAGUAUAGUAUUGUUUUUUUACAUUUGGUUCUGGCGUCGUGCGUUUUAGUCUUCCUUCCCUGUGUCCGAGGUCGUGACAGAAAAAAUCACCUGGAGCCACAUCCGUAAAGAUGAGGAAAAUGAGGGAGGUCCAUAAAGAAGUCGAACAAGUUUCUUGAGUAGAAGAAGAAGCUUGAGAAAAACCGUCAUGGGAAAUAAGAACUUGCGAUUGAGGGGAGCGACAGGACUAGGAUGGGAAGGGAUUGGCUACAACAAAAGUCAUAAGGUAUUACAUCAAACAGAAAAGGAGCUGAGCAUUUCUGCGCCAUCUGCAGACUCUAAAUGGCAAAGUCUGGGGGUGGGAAGAAGGAUUGAUUUGAUGCAUGUGAGAAUCCGCAGGAAAAUCAAUAUGUUCACCAAAAACCCACGAUUGACUUAACAGCACAUGGCAACCUCUGAGCGGUGCUGAGAGCAAAUGUCGACACAGUUUGUUAUAGACGUUCUGUGCCGAUAUGAUCUCUGCCCUGCUUUUUAGUUCAGCACAUCGCCUGCCCGUAGGACACUCACUCAACUGCUCGCCCAGUUGGGUCGGAAUAAUAUUAUUGAGGUGGGUGGCUAAGAUAUCACAGUCCCCUACUAUUUUAUUGCUGUCAAGCUCCAGCAUGUGUCAAACUAAGCUCUUUCUGUGGGCGUUCGGAGAGCAACUCACCUUUACUGCACGCCUGAAGAACGAGACUGCGACGAUCACUCAGCUUCCUCUUUCAUCUUAAGUUGUGCAUUUAUUCCUCUUUCAAUUCCUGUUAUUUAUUUUUGUUUUGUGUAAGUGCAUGGAUUUCUUUUCAUUGCACUGUAUGCAAAUUGUUUUAAGUGGGGAAGAGCAUCACAGCUUGUAAAUACCAUGUCAGGUUUCUCUACUAUAUAAUAUGUAUCUGUCCAUGUAUAACAAAGAGAUGUCACACCAAAGAUGAUUUCUUUAUUCAAACGUUUUAUUAAACAAAUAAUUUGUCUGUUUUAAAGUU